rnacentral:rRNA from 1 species
GACAGAGGGUGCAAACGUUGUUCGGAAUUACUGGGCGUAAAGCGCGUGUAGGCGGCCAUCUAAGUCGGGCGUGAAAUCCCACGGCUCAACCGUGGAAGUGCACUCGAAACUGGAUGGCUAGAGUCCUGGAGAGGAAGGUGGAAUGCUUGGUGUAGAGGUGAAAUUCGUAGAUAUCAAGCGGAACACCGGUGGCGAAGGCGGCCUUCUGGACAGUGACUGACGCUGAGACGGCGAAAAGCGUGGGGAGCAACAGG